rnacentral:rRNA from 1 species
UACGAAGGGGGCUAGCGUUGCUCGGAAUCACUGGGCGUAAAGGGUGCGUAGGCGGGUUUUAAGUCAGGGGUGAAAUCCUGGAGCUCAACUCCAGAACUGUCUUUGAUACUGGGAAUCUUGAGUUCGGGAGAGGUGAGUGGAACUGCGAGUGUAGAGGUGAAAUUCGUAGAUAUUCGGCAAGAACACCAGUGGCGAAGGCGGCUCACUGGCCCGAUACUGACACUGAGGCACGAAAGCGUGGGGAGCAAACAGG